UGGGAUGUAGCUCAGUGGCAAAGCACUUGCCUAGCAAGUGCAAUGUCCUGGGUUCGAUUCCCAGUACCAA
rnacentral:tRNA from 1 species